UUUUUUUUCUUUUCUUUUCCUCUCUUUUUCUUUUUGACUUUAUUUUAUCUUUCGAAUUUGAUUUAUUGUUUCUUAAGACUUUGGGUGCCUGGAUAGAAUAAUACUUCUUCUUUUUUCAUUGAAGACCCAAAAGUAUCUUCCAUGUGUAUGUUGUUCAAUUCACAAUUUUUUUCGAAUUAAUGGAUGAAGUGAUUAAUUUUUUUAAUCACUAUGCUAAUGAGGACAUGAUAGUGGAGGACGAAAGUCAUG
rnacentral:lncRNA from 1 species